AUGAGGUCUCUCGGCCGCACUUCGUUGUGCUUUCACCUGGCCCUGCUUCUCCUCCUUGCCGUGGUCAGGGCAGAUGAUCCUAGCCUCGCCGAUGGAGGGAGGCUCAUUGACCCCAAGCCUUCCCCAAAACCCAUUCCAAAACUGAUGCCUCAACCCAACCCUAAAAUGCCGCACCCGAACCCAAACCCAAACCCAAACCCAAAGCCCACGACUCCUGCAAUGCCGGAACCCAACCCAAUACCGGACCCAGAUGCCAAGCCACAACCAAAACCAAUGCCUCAGCCUGACCCGAAGCCAACUCCUGAAAAGCCAAAGGCUGAACCUCAGCCAGGCUCAUUGCCGGUGUAUUCACUAGACGACAUUGGUUCCGACAGGACGAACCCAAAGCCUGACCCACACCCUAACCCUAAGGCAAACCCAAGAAAGCCGGACCCAGACGCCAAGCCACAACCAAAGCCAAUGCCCCAGCCGAACCCAAAGCCAAAUCCGGAAAAGCCAAAGCCUAAACCUCAGUCAGGGUCAUUGCCGGUGUAUUCACUAGACGGUGUUUCCGACAGGACGAACCCAAAGCCCAACCCGCAACCUAACCCUAGGACAAACCCAGCAAAGCCGGACCCAGAAGUCAAGCCACAACCACAGCCAAAGCCCCAGCCAAACCCAAAACCAACUCCAGCAAAGCCGGACCCAGAAAUCAAGCCACAACCACAGCCAAACCCAAAACCCACUCCUGCAAAGACGGAGCCUGAACCACGGCCAGGACCAUCCAAGUCGACGCCAUUGGACUCACUGUCAGUUCGUUUCGACAAGGUGAACCCAAAGCCUGAUCCACACCCGACCCCCAAGCCAACACCAAAGCCGCAGCCAAACCCCAACCCCCACCCGGGACCGUCCAAGCCUAAGCCGCCGGUGUACGCACGUCGCGUUGGCUCCGACAAGCCCCUCAACUAA
rnacentral:rRNA from 1 species